CGGGACGGGUGAGUAAUGUCUGGGAAACCGCCUGAUGGAGGGGGAUAACUGCUGGAAACGGUAGCUAAUACCGCAUAACGUCGCAAGACCAAAGAGGGGGACCUUCGGGCCUCUUGCCAUCGGAUGUGCCCAGAUGGGAUUAGCUAGUAGGUGGGGUAACGGCUCACCUAGGCGACGAUCCCUAGCUGGUCUGAGAGGAUGACCAGCCACACUGGAACUGAGACACGGUCCAG
rnacentral:rRNA from 1 species